rnacentral:rRNA from 1 species
CUACGGGUGGCUGCAGUGGGGAAUAUUGCACAAUGGGCGCAAGCCUGAUGCAGCCAUGCCGCGUGUAUGAAGAAGGCCUUCGGGUUGUAAAGUACUUUCAGCGGGGAGGAAGGGAGUAAAGUUAAUACCUUUGCUCAUUGACGUUACCCGCAGAAGAAGCACCGGCUAACUCCGUGCCAGCAGCCGCGGUAAUACGGAGGGUGCAAGCGUUAAUCGGAAUUACUGGGCGUAAAGCGGCACGCAGGCGGUUUGUUAAGUCAGAUGUGAAAUCCCCGGGCUCAACCUGGGAACUGCAUCUGAUAACGGGCAGGUUGAGGCUAGUAGAGGGGGGUAGAAUUCCAGGUGUAGCGGUGAAAUGCGUAGAGAUCUGGAGGAAUACCGGUGGCGAAGGCGGCCCCCUGGACGAAGACUGACGCUCAGGUGCGAAAGCGUGGGGAGCAAACAGGAUUAGAUACCCCCGUAGUC